rnacentral:lncRNA from 1 species
UUUUUUUUUUUUUUUUUUUUAAUCUGGGUAUUGCAGGUACUUAGCACAGAACUAGACUCUGGAAGGAACUAGACGAAUACAUGCUGGAUGCAAAGAUAAAUGCUCCUGAGUGCUCUGUUACUAUGUGUGCACCUUUACCUAACCUCUCUCCGUCUGGUGUCUGUCAUUAUGCCACCGACAGAGCUUGCUGCACAUUUACCCUACGUGGCAUGUUAGGACGCCCCCUUGCUCCAGAUGCUUAGCUCCAUUCCAGGAUGGCUUCUCCAAGGAGCAAAUGCUAGGUAGCUCCAACAAGCCCAGGACUUACAAAAUAGAAAUGACUUACCUAGGAAAAACAAUGUGGAAUAAUCCUUUGGGCUCUCUAUACCAGCUGGCACCUCUCAAGCUUGAGUCUGAUCUCUGAUUGAUGUCGGAGGCUUGAAUUACUUAACCCUGUCUCCCCUUUAAUCAAUUAAUCAUUUGCAAAAAAAAAAAAAGGCAAAAUAAUACAAACGAUUAUUUAUUUAUUGCUUUGAGUCCCUUCUUCAAGCACUUUCUAGACUAGUCCAUAUUUCAGUGCAUGUCACCUCUCUUCAAUCAUUUCUUCUUGACACAAGCUGAUUUCUGAAUUUGAUAUUUAUUGCAGCCUACUUAAUGUAUUGUUCUGUGAGGUAUUUUUUUUUUUCCCCAACAGCAUUAGAAACUAUGUGUUUAUUCUUCCACAAGAAUUGUUACUAAUUUUUCAAGGCACAUUUUUGGCAUUGUUUUUGUUUCAAAAAAUGAAAUUGCAAGGCCUUGCAGAUUCUUUUGGUUAUAUUCUAAACUGGAAAGAAAAUCUGUGCAAAUGGAUAUCAUUGUAAGUUUUUGUGGAGAAGGUAGAGAAACUUUUCACUUACACUUCUGGAAAGGUCUUUGAUAAUUCUCCUUAUUCCCCUAAAGUAACUCCUGACUGAGGCUUGCUUUUUUUGUUGUUUAGCAAUUUGUAUAAAUGCUGAUCCAGCAGUGAUGACUUAUUUUAGAGAGAGAAAAUGUAUGCCCGUCUUCUUGAACUCAUUGUGUAAACACACAUAGUAAAUCUACAACACAUUUUCACAGGAGACACCGGAAGAGGUGAAGAGUGUCAGAUGGUCCUUUCUAAGUAAGGACAUUUUGCCUGUUUCCAGUUUCUAGCUGUGCUUCUAAACACACACAACUGUAUGACAAUCUUCUGCUCCUUGCCUAACAUGUCACCUGAGAGCUUGACCAACAGCUUCCUUUAGGGAUGCCCACAUAGCAAACUUUAGCUGAGCCUAAACACAGACUUUUUGCUCAAGCACCAGUCCAAGAGUACCAGCCUAAGUAAUGAACUCUCCUUCAGCAGCUCUAUGCAACACAAGAGAGAAGGAAACAUACAGUGGCUUUGAGCAAAAAUGAGUACACAGGACCAGUCCCAUUCAUUUCAACCAUAAAAUGACUUAUGCUAAGAACACGUAAGCCAUCUAAAUAGAAGGUUUGAAGGUUUCACAGGACUUUUGAUUCCUUCUCAUGGCAAACCUCUUCAGUAAAAUCACAAGAUAAAAUGUAGACUAUUCUGGUUAGGCAAAUGCACAAGACGCUAGGAGUUAAAUAAAUAAAAGCUAGAAUAUAAUGAUCAACUUAGAAAAUGGGCAAAAGACACAAACAGAUACUUUAGUGAAGAGGAUAUACAGAUUGCAAAUAAGCACAUGAAAAGAUAUUCGACAUCAGUCGCCAUCAGGGAAAUGCAAAUUAAAACCACAGUGAGACAUCACUACACACCUAUUAAAAUGGCUAAAAUUAAAAAUACUGAACACUUACAAGGAUGCUGAGACACUGGAUUCCUCACGCAUUAGUGGUGGGAAGAUAAAAUGGUAUAGCGACUCUGAAAAAGAGUGGGGCUAUUUCUUAUAAAGCUAAACACAUGUUUACUAUAAGACCCAGAAACAGUACCACUAGAAGUUCAUGUCAGAGAAAUCAAAACUUAUGUUCACAUAAAAAUCUGCACACAAAAGUUUGUGGCAGCUUUAAUCCUAAUAGCCGAAACCUGAAAACAACCUAAAUGUCUUUUUUGCAGGUGAAUAGAUAAAUAGACUGUGAUGCAUCUGCGCCAUGGAAUACCACUCAGCAAUAAAAAGGAACUUUCAACUCUUGAUACACAGAUCUCAAGGAAAUUAUGCACAUUUUAAAUCAAUAUCAAACAGUUAUAUACCAUAUGAUUCCAUUUUCAUAACAUUCUUGAAAUAAAAUUCUAGAAAGCAAGAACAUAGUAGAAGACCAGCAGCAGAAAAGAGAGGGAAGUGUCUGGGCUUUAAAGGGUGGCCAGGUCAAACUUGUGAACUGUUCUGCAUCUCGACUGUGGUGACACAUGAAUCUACAAAUAGGAUAAAGCUGUAUAGAAUUAUAUACAUGCACAGAUAAAUAAGUGCAUGUAAAACUGGCAAAAUCUGAGUACAGUUGGUGGAGAACGUCAAUGUCAGUUUCUUGGUUUUGAUCAUCGUAGUCUAGUUACCUUGAGGGGGACACUGGAUGAACAAUAUACAAGAUCUCUGUGCUAUUUCCUACAACUUCCUGUGAAUGUACUAUUAUCUCAAAAUAAAAAGCUUUAAAAUCGUUAAUGUUAGAAGAAUACUCAUAGGCUAUUGAUAGAUAGGAUUGAGGUUGUAGGCUGAUGAAUUUGCUCUUCUGAAAAAAGAUGGGCAGAUGAGUAAGAAGUUCAAAUAUGAACUCCAGGUACCAAGGCAAUGGAUAAAUAGAACUGGCUAUCAUUCCCACUUUUUUCUUUUCUUCAUCCUCUUCCACCCUACAUCACUCUGCUUCUUGUGCAUCUCUUAAAUCCUAUCUCCUCCUUUGUUUGCACCACCACUGCCUUAGUCCAUCAUCACUCCUUAGAAGGACUCUUCCCGAAGCCUCUUGACUAGCCUCUGCUCUCCCUUACAGUCCAUCAUCGAAAGUGCCAUAAGCUAGUCACCUUUCUUAAAAGCACUGUUGCUAUUCAUCUUGCUGCACUGGCUCCCAGUUACAUCCAGGAUGAUAAAUCCAUCGCGAGCAUUAGAGAGAAGUCCCCGCAAUGUCACACCAUUACCUUUUUAUCUACCCCCAUGGCUUAUCUCCUGCUUCCUCCCUCCCAGCACCUGAUACUUCACGGAUUCUGAAUUCCUUGGGAUUCCUAUUCUCACCACAAGCACUUAUGCUUGCUUCCAUACCUUUGUCCAUCCUCUUUCCUCUCCUUUGAAUAAUCCAUGUCACUCCCUUGUCUUCCAGGAAAAUCCCUAUUCUCCUGCAAAUAUCCAACUUCAUUAUCAUCUUCUCUAUGAAACUCCCUGUGGAAUGUAUCACUUCAUUUUCUUGGAUGUAUGGCUGAAUUUAUAACAUUGCCUUGUAUUUGUUGGUUCAAAUGUCUAGCUCCCUUCUUAGACCAUGAACCCCUUAAGGACAGAUUCCAAGUCCUUUCAUCUUUAUCUCCUUAGGACCACACACAGUGUUUAUCUAACAAUAGGCACUUAAUAAAUAUUUGCUGAGUUGAUGGGGGAAAAACUAUGGAACUCUGGCAGUCUGACUGAACUGGCUGUGACUAUUUGGUGUCCAUAAUGAGAAUAACAGCUGUGAUUGAUUGCAAUGACGGCCGAGUUACUGGCCUCUCUUUACAAUGUGACUUUACAGCUCCUCCCACCAAGAAGGGGAGCCUAUUUCUCCACCCCUUGAUUCUGCUGGGCUUGUGACGUAUUUUUUAAAAUAGAACAUGACAGAAGGAUCGAUGUGCCAGUUCUGAACCCAGGCCUUGAGGGACCUCAUGUGAUUCUACUCUUUCCUGGAACCCUGCCCAGCCACCAUGUGAAGGAGCCAGGCCAGCCUGCUAGAGGACAAGAGUCCACAGGCAGGAAAGCCCAGUUGUCCUAGCCAGGCCAUGCCUGACAAGUCUACAGUGAGCCAUCCCCACCAGAGAGACCAGCAGAACUAUCUGACCUAUUGUUGGCAGCAGAUACAUAAGUGAGCCAGUGGAGACCAGGCAGACCAUCCCACUGACCUGUAGAUUCCUGAAUAAAAUUAAGUGACUAUCACUGCAUGCCAAUGAUGUUUGAUUUUUUUGAUACAACAUUAUUUUGGUAAUAAAUAAUGAUGUGGAAAUUGGUACUAGAAGUGGAAUGCGAAUGCAAUCAAAAUCUAAAAUGUGUAGCAUAGAUUUUUGGAAUCAAUGAGUGAGUAGAGGAUAGAAAAGCAGUAAACAAAUGGUAACCUGUGUUUCGUAGUAGCAAAACUGGUUGCAAAAGUAGUGCUCCUGCAUAUUAUGCUCAGUAAAAGAAACAGUCUCAAAAAGCCCAUAUUGUAUAACCCUUCUAAUGUGAAAUGGCCAGAAGAGGCUAAUAAAUAGAAAUAGAAAUUAGAUUGCUUGAAAUUAGAAAAUUAGAAUAUUAGAAAUAGAAUAAUGUACAAGGGCUGGGGGAGGAGAGUAACAGGGAGUGACUGAUAGUAAAUACAGGGCUUCUUCUUGGAAUGACAAAAAAGUUCUAAACUUGAUAUCGUACAUUUGUACAAUUCAAAAGAGUGAAGUUUAGAGUACGUGAAUUAUUUUUCAAUAAUGCUGUUAUUGAAAAAACUGUCACCUGCAGCAAAACAAAGGCUUCUUUAUUGAUCAAUUGAUCAAUAAAGUUAUUUUAUAGCAGUCAUAAAGCUAUAACUAUAUAUACAUUUAUAUAUUUGUCUCGAACUAUAUAUAUGUGUGUGUGUGUACACACACACACACACACACACACACAUAUUUGACCCUUGAAAACACAGGUUUGAACAGCAUGGACCUACUUACACCCAGGUUUUUUUCAUUACACACUGCAGUACUACAUGAUUCAUGUUUGGCUGAAUCCACAGAUGCAGAACAAGGGAUGUGGGGCACCAACUUGAGCAUCCAUAGAUUUUGGCAUCUGUGGCAGGUAAUGGAACCAAACCCAUGGAUACU